rnacentral:tRNA from 1 species
GCCUGGCUAGUUUAUAUGGUAAAACAUCAGACUCUUAAUCUGAGGGCCCAGGGUUCCAAUCCCUGGUCAGACA